rnacentral:rRNA from 1 species
GACGAACGCUGGCGGCGUGCUUAACACAUGCAAGUCGAACGAAGAGCGAUGGAAGCUUGCUUCUAUCAAUCUUAGUGGCGAACGGGUGAGUAACGCGUAAUCAACCUGCCCUUCAGAGGGGGACAACAGUUGGAAACGACUGCUAAUACCGCAUACGAUCCAAUCUCGGCAUCGGGACUGGGUGAAAGGUGGCCUCUAUUUAUAAGCUAUCACUGAAGGAGGGGAUUGCGUCUGAUUAGCUAGUUGGAGGGGUAACGGCCCACCAAGGCGAUGAUCAGUAGCCGGUCUGAGGGGAUGAACGGCCACAUUGGGACUGGGACACGGCCCAGACUCCUACGGGAGGCAGCAGGGGGGAAUCUUCCGAAAUGGACGAAAGUCUGACGGAGCAACGCCGCGGGGGGGAUGACGGCCUUGGGGUUGUAAAGCUCUGUUAUUCGGGAAGAAUGGUUUUUGGGGGAAAAGGGCGAGGAUUUGCGGGUCCCGGAAUAAAAAGCCACGGCAAACUCCGG